rnacentral:rRNA from 1 species
CAUGUAGGCGGAUUAAUAAGUUUGAAGUGAAAUCCUAUAGCUUAACUAUAGAACUGCUUUGAAAACUGUUAAUCUAGAAUGUGGGAGAGGUAGAUGGAAUUUCUGGUGUAGGGGUAAAAUCCGUAGAGAUCAGAAGGAAUACCGAUUGCGAAGGCGAUCUACUGGAACAUUAUUGACGCUGAGAUGCGAAAGCGUGGGUAGCAAACA